rnacentral:rRNA from 1 species
CCUACGGGUGGCAGCAGUGAGGAAUAUUGGUCAAUGGGCGGAAGCCUGAACCAGCCAAGUCGCGUGAGGGAAUAAGGCCCUACGGGUCGUAAACCUCUUUUGCCGGGGAGCAAGGGCCGGGACGAGUCCCGGUCCGGAGAGUACCCGGAGAAAAAGCAUCGGCUAACUCAGUGCAGGCAGCCGCGGUAAUACGGGGGAGGCGAGCGUUAUCCGGAUUUAUUGGGUUUAAAGGGUGCGUAGGUGGGAUUUAAGGUCAGCGGUAAAAAUUCGGGGCUCAACCCCGUCCGGCCGUUGAAACUGGGUGCCUUGAGUGGGCGAGAAGAAGGCGGAAUGCGUGGUGUAGCGGUGAAAUGCAUAGAUAUCACGCAGAACCCCGAUUGCGAAGGCAGCCUUCCGGCGCACUACUGACGCUGAGGCACGAAAGUGCGGGGAUCGAACAGGAUUAGAUACCCGAGUAGUC